GGGUACUCCAAUUUUUACAGUGCCUAUUCUUCCAAUUUCAUCUCCUGAGUUGAACGGCUUUCAUCUUCCCGAUCUUAAUCUGGAACCAUUUGAUUCUAUUGAAUGGACCUAGUAAAAAGAAAGCAAAUAUGUGAACAUCCCUUUAAAGAACGCGAUCAGAUUAGGCGAGCUUAUCUAAAUGUUGGACCUUAUCAAGCAAAAUUUUUGGAAUACCGGAGCAAAGAAUGUGGAGAGUCGAAACGCCGAUUUCAGGAACGUUGGUACAAUUAGUUUUCUUGGUUGAAAUAUUCGACUUCAGCACAUUAGGCAUAUUUUUUUUGCUUUAUUUUUCUCAAUGAUAGUACUCCAAGAGAGUAAAUGUGUAUUUCUUAUUCAUAUCGGUACAACAUCUUCAUCGUAUCAUAAUUUCUUAUUAUAAGAGUGAUGUGAUUUUCGAACCUCGAUUUCAAGUACCUACACUUUUUGAUUUAUGUCUAGAAUUGGUUGCAAGUAGAAGGCAAAGAGUUACGUCAUUUUGACUAAAUUGAUUUGUUUAAUACCGACACUACCUAUUUCAAC
rnacentral:lncRNA from 1 species